GACAUGAGAGAGGACAUUCAUUUUCUGUCUGUCAUUCUGCCCCUCCCAGACCUCCUUCAGCACGUCCAGCGGACCUCGAACCUCACAUCUGUAGAGCAUCUGGAAUGGUGAGAACCCAAGUGAUGCCUGCGGCACUUCCUGGGUAUUAGAUGUAGAAUAGACCCCCCCCUUCUCCCCAUCGGUGGAUCCUCCCGAUAAGCAUAAGCACCUGUCUCAGUGGACUUCCCGGCUCAUCCAUCACCUCUGCCCGCUCUACUCGCUCUCACACCUUUCCGCGAACAAAACACAUCUUUCUCUCCUUCGCUCCUUCUGUCACUGGAGUACCACGCGACCACUCUAUUGUUUACCCAAAAAGGAGAGUAGGCUGUUAACACAUGUUUAGUAAUAGAACACCCUCCCCAGGCCCAUGGAGAAGAGAGCUUUACUCCCUGUACUCCCUCCUCCUUCAACCUCCCUCCCUCCUCCUGACAGAUUAGGCCCACCAUUCAUCUAAAUUAUGUCACUGGCAAUGAGCAAUCGGCUUAAUCUGUCCUAAACGGGACUGGGAGUUGGGGUGAUGUUGACACUUCGGUGAAACUCCCUACUGUCGUUGGAGCUGUCACACCCCCUAAUGUGUGACGACCAACCCCCCCCUCCACCUAGCCCCCAUGCAGAGAAGCAAAGGGUCUCCUGAGCUGAGCUGAGAAAAGCACAUGGCUAAUGACAAAUAGUAUAUGUUGGACUAGAACAUCUGUUGAACACUUGGCCUGAUUUUGUGAUGCCAUUCAGUUCCAGCUGUGAACAUGGAGGCAUUGGGUGUUGAAAUGCAAUUGUAUGUGUUCAGAGUUGAUCACUUCAUCCUUUCUUAAAGGGUAAAAUGACUCACUGCUGCGUGCUGCUGUACUUUGAGUGUGUAUGUGCAGUAAUAU